rnacentral:rRNA from 1 species
GAUGAACGCUGGCGGCGUGCCUAAUACAUGCAAGUCGAGCGAACAGACGAGGAGCUUGCUCCUCUGACGUUAGCGGCGGACGGGUGAGUAACACGUGGAUAACCUACCUAUAAGACUGGGAUAACUUCGGGAAAACCGGAGCUAAUACCGGAUAAUAUAUUGAACCGCAUGGUUCAAUAGUGAAAGACGGUUUUGCUGUCACUUAUAGAUGGAUCCGCGCCGCAUUAGCUAGUUGGUAAGGUAACGGCUUACCAAGGCAACGAUGCGUAGCCGACCUGAGAGGGUGAUCGGCCACACUGGAACUGAGACACGGUCCAGACUCCUACGGGAGGCAGCAGUAGGGAAUCUUCCGCAAUGGGCGAAAGCCUGACGGAGCAACGCCGCGUGAGUGAUGAAGGUCUUCGGAUCGUAAAACUCUGUUAUUAGGGAAGAACAAAUGUGUAAGUAACUAUGCACGUCUUGACGGUACCUAAUCAGAAAGCCACGGCUAACUACGUG